rnacentral:rRNA from 1 species
UACAGAGGUCUCAAGCGUUGUUCGGAUUCAUUGGGCGUAAAGGGUGCGUAGGCGGCGAGGUAAGUCAGAUGUGAAAUCCCGGGGCUUAACCCCGGAACUGCAUUUGAUACUGCUUUGCUUGAGGACUGGAGAGGAGAUCGGAAUUCACGGUGUAGCAGUGAAAUGCGCAGAUAUCAGGAGGAACACCAAUGGCGAAGGCAGCUCGCUGGGACGGUACUGACGCUGAGGCGCGAAAGCGUGGGGAGCAAACAGG